rnacentral:rRNA from 1 species
GACGAACGCCGGCGGCGUGCUUAACACAUGCAAGUCGAACGAUGAACCGGGUGCUUGCACCUGGGGAUUAGUGGCGAACGGGUGAGUAACACGUGAGUAACCUGCCCUGGACUCUGGGAUAACCCCGAGAAAUCGGAGCUAAUACCGGAUAGGACCUUUCCUCGCAUGAGGUUUGGUGGAAAGUUUUUCGGUCUGGGAUGGACUCGCGGCCUAUCAGCUUGUUGGUGAGGUAAUGGCUCACCAAGGCGUCGACGGGUAGCCGGCCUGAGAGGGUGACCGGCCACACUGGGACUAAGACACGGCCCAGACUCCUACGGGAGGCAGCAGUGGGGAAUAUUGCACAAUGGGCGCAAGCCUGAUGCAGUAACGCCGCGUGCGGGAUGACGGCCUUCGGGUUGUAAACCGCUUUUAGUAGGGAAGAAGGGCUUCGGCUUGACGGUACCUGCAGAAAAAGGACCGGCUAACUACGUGCCAGCCGCCGCAGUAAGAC